AGGAGCUUGCUCCNAUAUUUAAUAGGGACGGGGGUAGAUAAUCACGCUGGUGGUAAUCCUGGCCUCGUAUAGACGUACGGGAUAUACUCCUCGCGGGAGAACCGGGGCGUCAAUACCAGGGAUGCUUGUUUGAACCGCAUGGUUCAAACAUAAAAGGUGGCGUUCGUGCGUACCACUCUACAGUGAGUGGUGACCCGCGGGCGUCAUUAUGUACGUAGUAUUGUGGUGAGGGGUAAUUGGGCGUCAUCCAACGGCGACCGAGUGCGUAGUCCGAGCCUGAGAAGGGGUGAUUCGGCCACACUGGGGACUAGUAGUACACGGCCCCACACUCCUAUCGAGGGAGGGGCGAGCCGAGUCUAUAGUGNGGAAUACUUCCCGCCGAAUAGGGACGACAAAGUACUAGUACGAGGAGCCCACACGCCGCGUGUAGUAGUAUUGAUAAGAGUUUUCGGGAUCGUAUAAGACCUCUGCUUUGUUUAGUGGAAGAAACAAAGAUACCGCUUCGUAAUAGUGGUCGGUGUACCUUGUACGAGGUACCUAACCCACAAACGCCACGGCCUAUACUACCAUGCCACCAGCCGCGGUAAUACUGUUAUUGUGGCAAGCGUUNUUCCGGAAAUUAUUGGGCGUAAUAGGGCUUCGCAGGCGGUUUCUUAAUAUCUGAUNUGAAAAGCCCCCGGGCUCACCCGGGGAGGGUCAUUGGAAACUGGGGAACUUGAGUGCAGAAGAGGAGAGUGGAAAUUCCACGUGUNCGGUGAAAUGCUGUUUAGAUAUGAAGGAAACACCANNUGGCGAAAGGCGACCUCUCUUGUUCUCUACUGACGCUGAGGAGCGAAAGGGUGGGGAGCGAACAAGAUUUNAUACCUUGUACUCCCCCCAAAAAUAAUUCUUAUUUUGGGGUUUCCCCCCCUUUUUUACUACACAUUACACCCNCCCNGGGAUUGGCGCCGGAAUAAUCAAGAAUUAGGGGCCGCCGGGGACAUUUUUUUAUCAAAACCACAAA
rnacentral:rRNA from 1 species